GUGCUCGCUUUGGCAGCACAUAUACUAAAAUUGGAACGAUACAGAGAAGAUUAGCAUGGCCCCUGUGCAAGGAUGACAUGCAGAUGAGUUAGGUUUUAUUUAGAUAU